rnacentral:rRNA from 1 species
CCUACGGGCGGCUGCAGUGGGGAAUAUUGCACAAUGGGCGCAAGCCUGAUGCAGCCAUGCCGCGUGUGUGAAGAAGGCCUUCGGGUUGUAAAGCACUUUCAGCGGGAGGAAGGCGUUAAGGUUAAUAACCUUGGCGAUUGACGUUACCCGCAGAAGAAGCACCGGCUAACUCCGUGCCAGCAGCCGCGGUAAUACGGAGGGUGCAAGCGUUAAUCGGAAUUACUGGGCGUAAAGCGCACGCAGGCGGUCUGUCAAGUCGGAUGUGAAAUCCCCGGGCCCAACCUGGGAACUGCAUUCGAAACUGGCAGGCUAGAGUCUUGUAGAGGGGGGUAGAAUUCCAGGUGUAGCGGUGAAAUGCGUAGAGAUCUGGAGGAAUACCGGUGGCGAAGGCGGCCCCCUGGACAAAGACUGACGCUCAGGUGCGAAAGCGUGGGGAGCAAACAGGAUUAGAUACCCGAGUAGUC